CAGCAAUCAGCGACAUCGCACCUGACAAAAGUUUUUCAAAUAAAAUAUUUCCACCCAAACGUCACUGCUGGUGCUGAGCUCGCGCGAUCGAGUGUGAAGUUUUUUUGUGAUCUCAAUGAAAAAGGAUUUUUUUGAACUCACGCUGUACACAACAAGCUCUCUGCAUGUCUUUUUCGGUGGAGGUGAUUUUUGUUGUUGUUAUUGUUGUGGCUGGCGACGAGAAGGCUCUCAUUUACGCUAAGUAUCUCAUAGACAGAAUGAGCCUGGUUUUUACGCCAAGCUGAUGUUUUCAGCAGCAGUCCGCUGUGGAGAAAAUUCAAGCAGUCUUAGGGGCCUGAAGUUUUCGCUGCUUCUUACCGGAUCGACAGUGGGAAAGAAGGGUGGCAGCGUGCAGUACCUUGUGAAAUGGAGAGACUUUAUCCUCUAUGAAUUUGGGAGUAUGAAGAAGAUAUCAGUGACGAUCUAUCAGGUGAUUUCAUUUUCAUUUUGGGUGAAUUUAUUGAAUGUAUUCUUGCAUGAAUUUGAAAAUCUCCCUUUUGUUUGCUGUAGAUAUUUUGAUGGUUCGGGGAAUGUUGGGCCCUUUCUCAGAUGACGAAUGUUUGAGGCUGCUGAUGGAGCUUGCACUGCUGUGCAGUGAAAAAAUAGAAGUGAAAUAGUCACAAAAGGCAGAAUGGAGUUUUACGUGUAAUAGUGCUCCACAUUAUUGUGUCGAGCCCUCUCCGCUGGCAGAAGGAAGUUUUCCUACUUGAAGUGAAAUAGUCUAUUUCUGACUUUCGAAUCAGAAACUGGACAAAGGGGGUUGGGACCGAAGAAUUUCCCUGUGAAGUUCUUUCCUCCAGGUUGGGAUGCUUGCAUGAACGUACAUGGACAAGGCCCACGGGCUCACUACCUGAUUACCUUCAAGCCUAUGAUUCGCCGUAGUCCAUGUCCGUUCCUGCAGUACUCCUCUGGAUCUAUGACAGGAGGGGAUCGUGCUGCCCGGCAGUUUGUCUCUUCCACAGAGAAGGGCAUUGAUUAAUCAUGAGCUUACCGCAGAGCACAACGAAAGCAUUGUAGCAUGAAACUAAUUUGUCUGAAUACAAAUCUGCACAAUGGCACAGACGGCUAAUGGAGGUAAAGCAUAGCAUCACCAGCAUUGUAUUCCUGGAAGCAGUGCAAGUUAUAGAUUUAGGUAUCAAUAUUUAUCUAAGCUUUAGCGAAGUCCAGACGCAGUACAUUACUAGUGUGAAAGAUAGAAGAAAAAGCAAUGAUAUCCGUAUAUACCCGGAAAGAGAGGUGAGAGUGGGUGGGAGUAAGUGAAAGCACUUGUACAAGCUAAACAUCUGUGCAACCGGAAAGAGCAGAGAAAAGGCUACAGCAAUUACACAGGCCAUAUGUACGAGGUAAUUUAGCAGUGAGACCCAAACAUUCUUGUAAACCAGAAUGCAGCUUCAGCACACAUUUUCUAUUUCUUCAUGUUGUGCUGCUGUUGCCGUUUCCCAACGAUAUGAUGAGGCUCUCCGUUAUGCUUCUGCUGGUUUUCCUGUGCAGGUAUGUGCUGCCGUAGCUCAGAGAAAUCUUUGGCCAGGGUAGCCAAGAUCGCAUCACCCACAUCCUCCUCUCCUUCAGGUUCACUUGUAGGUUUGGCAUUCAUGCGUGACAUCUCCUUCAGUACUGUGUAGGUCUUCUCCUAUUGGUUUUUGUCUGCCCAUACCAUUUGCACUGCUCAGUGGUGUCGGCGACAGUCGCCUCCAGCUCACUAUUUUCCAUUUUUUCUUUACUUUUUGGAUACGCUGUGUGUCCUUGAGGUAGCAUUUGAGGCUGACUAGUUCUUCUACCUUUGUUUUGCAAACAUUCUUGUCUAGUGUUCAGUGAUCGAACCCAGUCAACGUUGAAGCACCCUUGUUAUUUCUUUCCGUUUCUUUUUAUUCUUGUACGCCGCUGCCUGCAACCGUGCAUUUUAAUUGGUUUGCGAGAAUCUCUUUUCACCUGCAGCAACCAGAGUUUGAAAGUACCGACACAAACUGGAAGCAUGCCCUGUUUCCAGACAACUAGCUGCUUCAAAAAUUCUUAUGUCAGAUGAGUGACUGGUUACGCAGCCGACAUUAUGGUGACAUAAUGUGUCCUUGUAGUUCUGUUUAUUAUUACUUGUAUAUUUCACUGUUCGCGUCAAACUCGGCUAAAGGCCGAGUUUUCCGCAUCUGUAGGAACGCCACCACCCUUCAAGGAUCGUGUGUUUUAAUAUUAUAGCAGUGUAUUUUGGUAUUUGCUUUGACCAUCAGUCCUUGGCUGAUGCUGGUCAUACCUUCAACAUGUUGACGCGUUUUCAAGGCAUUCAAUAUACGUAGGCCGCAAGAUUCUAUCUUUUCAUACCGAAUACCGAUGGCUAGUGCUUCCCUACUAGCCGCGCAAGUGUCACAUCUGGCUGCGGCCAACUACCCUUUAA